rnacentral:rRNA from 1 species
UACGUAGGGUGCAAGCGUUAUUCGGAAUUACUGGGCGUAAAGCGUGCGCAGGCGGUUAUGCAAGACAGAUGUGAAAUCCCCGGGCUCAACCUGGGAACUGCAUUUGUGACUGCAUGGCUAGAGUACGGUAGAGGGGGAUGGAAUUCCGCGUGUAGCAGUGAAAUGCGUAGAUAUGCGGAGGAACACCGAUGGCGAAGGCAAUCCCCUGGACAUGUACUGACGCUCAUGCACGAAAGCGUGGGGAGCAAACAGG